AGGACAAACGAGCGUACGGGUCACCUGUUGUUAAGUGAUCACCGCCGCCCACAAUCUCUUGCAACACCAGAGGAAUCACAUGAGCGUUGCCGGCCUUUAAGGAAGGUGUACGCGCUUUUAUUAAGGUUAUUGAAAUGUCAGUAAGCUUAAAGGAUAGAUUUGUCUACCUCUAGUGAGUUAAACUAAGGAUAGAUAUGUUAUUGGAAACGGCCGUAGGUAAACAAUGAGUUGCACCAUUUGACAAUUUUAGAUGACGUCAUAGCUUUAACUGUUAACCGUAACAGUCCAAUCUUCGCCGCUUAAAGCUAUAGUUAAUGUUAAAUAGCUAAAGAGCGACCUGUCAAAAGUUUCUAAUAACGAUUCGAUUAUGACUUGAUAUUUCACUUUUUAACUUGAACUUUGCCAAUGCAUAUUCAUUCAUGUCACAACGCAUUCCACAGUCUAAGUAAAAGUCAGUGUAACAGUUAACGUUAAAUUUGACUACUAACUAUAACAACUAAUAUGAUGCAACCCAACCUAAGACAUUAACUGCAAUCUACAUGGAUUACAGUAUUAAUGGUUGACACUCCCAAAAUAUAUUUUUAUAUUAAACACGAAAGUGUGUUAGAUAAAUGUGUAUAGUGUAAUUUACACUGAUUUGUUUUGAAUGAUCUUAUCAGGAACCAAUAUUAUAUUGUGUAAUAUAGUUACAUUUAAGUAUAGCAUAUUAGUGAGUACCCGUCUUAACAAAUUAAUAUAAUUACAGAAACAUAUUCAUCGUAUAAUAACCGUUAUAAUAUUAUUACUUAAUAUAAUAUAAAAAAUAUUUGCUUCCAUUAGUUUUAAUGUCAGUAGUCAUCAAGGCUUUAGGAGUGACACAUUAAAUAAAAUUAUGAAGUAUUUAUAUACAUAUUAAUAUUCACCCACGGACGAGUAAAAUAAGAAGGACUCCGUGUCACCUUGCAUAACAGUGUAGCACCAAAACAAGCCGAUUAACGUGUAAAUACAUAGCCCCACGCACACACUUACACUACUACAGGCCGAUAGGCGGCCAUUAUGAGAAUUAUUGUCAUCGUCUGUGACAGAUCAGUUUGCGUCUCAAUAAAAUAUUUUAAACAUGCCGUCGUGCGUUGUGAAAAAGUGUAAAAACGAUACUAUAUAAGUAUUUGUGGCCAUAUAUGAUUAUUUAAGGGAGAAAAAAUUGUGUAACUGGUAUACCCCGUAACCGCACACACACUAGCAUAACGGUGCUUCACUUGCUAAUAUCACGGCGCGGAGUCCUUCUUUUUUUACUCGUCCGUGACAUAGACCUACAUUUUAUCUCAAAAAUUCUAUAAUUAGUUGAUUGGUAGCCGAUGGUUUGUGUUCCCUUUUUAUCUUUUGUUUUGCUUUGGUGGAGGUGACAUCCUUAAAUAUGCUUUGAAAAGUAUAAUAUAAAAGUACUUUAUUCCGAAGUCACUGCGAUUUUUUAUGUAUUUAGUUAGUAUAUAAAUUUAUUAAGUAUGACAAAUACCUGCUGAAAUUAAAAAUAUGUAUUAUUUAAAAGAGUUAUCAUACUACCCUCACUAUUAUAUACAAAUAUUAAAGUAGUCUCAAAUUAAGCCAUAAAACUGGUCAUUAUUAGUUGAAAAGACAUAAUGUAAUUAUGUAAAUACACAAUAAUAUUAUUUAUGUAUUUGAUAUUUUAUGAAUUGGUGUUAUUUAGUAUUUAACAUGUGUAAGUAAUGAUAUGUUAUAUUGAAUCAGGGUCCAAUUUUUUAUGAAAUAUACUCCUAGCCUAUAUUUAAGUGGAAAAGCCGUGUUAAUUUUGUAUGCAUAUGUUUUUUAUAGCUAGAUUGAAAUAUAUUUUUUUUCUAUAUUUUAA